UAUACAAUUUGGGUUGUGGUUGCUGCGUAUCUGUUUCAAAUGGGUUAUGGGCUCUUCUCACACUUUCAGGUCAAAGGGGACUUUGGAAUCCAUAGUGUACCUAUGUAUGCAUGUAUGAUCAUGGAUCAGCCUUCCCAUUUCUGUCGCUGUGUCCCUAUAUGGUUCAUGAUCAUGUAUGUUACUUCACUCGAAGGCCAUACACAAUCCAAACAAAAUAAAACACAGAAACUGUGUUGGCUAUUUUGACUUUCUGUUGAAACUAUUCUCUUUGGUCAUAUAUAUAUAUUUUAAAAAUAUUAUAUAUAUAUAUAUUUUUAAAAAACAUUUUAUAUAUAUAUAUAUUUUUUUUUCCAGUGAUUAUCCUGCCUCAGCCUCCCAAGUAGCUGGGAUUACAGGCACCUGCCAUCAUGCCCGGCUAAAUUUUUUUUGUGUGUGUAUUUUUGUAGAUACAGGGUUUCACCAUGUUAGCCAGGCUCGUCUUCAACUCCUGAUCUCAGGUGAUCCGCCGGCCUCAGCCUCCCAGAGUGCUGGGAUUACAGGCGUGGGCCACCACGCCUGGAGAUAGAUAGAUAGAUAGAUAGAUAGAUAGAUAGAUAGAUAGAUAUAUGUAAUCUUUUUCAGUAUAUUCUCAGGGUGUGUUUGAGGAAAGCUUUUUUUUUUUUUGGCCAUUGUCCAAGGGUUUAGAACUGAAUGGGAAUGUCUGUAAAUGGAUCUGAUGGAGGUUGGAAUGUGUAUCAGCUUUUAAUCAUCACUGUAACAAAUCACUAAAAUAUUCUCUUUAUUAUCUCUCACUUUAGAAGUGUGGGAGGGCUGGACUGAUGACUCUGCUUAUAGUCCUACAAGGACAAAAUCAAGGUGCUCUUGGGCUCCUUAUGAAGGCCCUAGGGCAGAAUGUGUGUCCAAGCACAUACAGGUUAGAGCAGAAUUCAACUUCUUGUAGUUGUAGGAGUGAGGUCCCAAUUCAUCACUGGCUGGUAGUUGGGGCCUCUCAGCAAUGUCAGGCUGCCUGCAUUGCUCUUCAUAGUGCCCAGUUCAUUUUCUAAACCAGCAAUGGUGCAGAGAGACAUUCUCCUGCUUCUAGUUUCUCUGGCUUCCCCUCACCCACACCUCUCUUCUGUGUCUCUUCUGCCUCCAACCAGAGUUAAAUCUCUUAAGUGCUCAUGUGAUUACAUGGAGCCCACUGCAUGAAUCACGAUCGUCUCCUAAGGUCUGCAACCUUAAUUACAUCUGCAAAAUCCCUUAUGUGAUG
rnacentral:lncRNA from 1 species